AGACAAAUUGAUACUUUAGGGUACAUUGAGGGAUCAGCUUCAUCAAUGACACCAUCAGAAAUACAAACAAAAGAAGGUAAAAAUAAGAGAGUUGAAGAAGCAACGAUUACUCUUAAGUGUAAAUACGUUUUAACAUACUUUCUGACGUACAAUAUGUUAAUUGGCAUUUUAAUUGUGUAAGCACAAAUUGCAAAGGAACUUGCUGAGAGCAGGUCUUACAACUCUUUUUAAGUAACACACUCUUCUCCUAGCAAUCUACAUCUGGAAAUAAAACUAAGUACGCCGCUUCAUCAGAAUCACCACUCUCACGGAAACGUGGAUUCUUCUCCUGCAGCAAAAGAAAACGUCAUAUUGCAACAACAAAUAUCACUAAAACCGAAGAGGGGACAAACAACAGAGAAAAAAGAUUUGAAGCUCACCCUCUUAUUCGUUAUAUCACAAGCUAAAAUCAGGGAGUUUGAGCUUUUGAAGAUGAAGGACUCAGAUCGUGUGAAAGAAUACUCUUCCAAGCUAAUGGAGAUUGUGAACCAGAUAAGAAUACUUGGUGAAAACUUUCCAGAUCAGAAAGUUGUAGAGAAGAUCUUGGUCAGCCUUCCGGACAAGUUUGAAUCAAAAAUCUCAGCUAUUGAAGAGUCUUGUGACCUGACUACUCUUACAGUAGCUGAACUGAUCUCUAAAUUGCAUGCCCAAGAGCAAAGAGUGACUAUGAGAAGUGAAGGGAUUGUUGAAGAUGCCUUUCAAGUAAGGCAUAAAUUCAAGCAACGGAAGGAAGGCAAAAAAGUUUUCUUCGAUAAUUCUGGAGAGGUAAAAUCUGGUGAAAACCAAGGUGAUUCGUCAAGAAAAGGAAAAUUUCCACCUUGUGGUAUUUGUAAGAAGACAAACCACUUGGAGAAGAAUUGUUGGCAAAAGUCAAAGAGGCCUCCAAUUCAAN
rnacentral:lncRNA from 1 species